rnacentral:misc_RNA from 1 species
CCGAGUUUACAACUCCCAAACCCCUGUGAACAUACCAAUUGUUGCCUCGGCGGAUCAGCCCGCUCCCGGUAAAACGGGACGGCCCGCCAGAGGACCCCUAAACUCUGUUUCUAUAUGUAACUUCUGAGUAAAACCAUAAAUAAGUCA